UACGUAGGGUGCGAGCGUUGUCCGGAAUUAUUGGGCGUAAAGAGCUCGUAGGCGGCUUGUCGCGUCGGAUGUGAAAGCCCGGGGCUUAACUCCGGGUCUGCAGUCGAUACGGGCAGGCUAGAGUUCGGUAGGGGAGACUGGAAUUCCUGGUGUAGCGGUGAAAUGCGCAGAUAUCAGGAGGAACACCGGUGGCGAAGGCGGGUCUCUGGGCCGAUACUGACGCUGAGGAGCGAAAGCGUGGGGAGCGAACAGG
rnacentral:rRNA from 1 species